GCAGCAGUGGGGAAUAUUGGACAAUGGGGGGAACCCUGAUCCAGCCAUGCCGCGUGUGUGAAGAAGGCCUUUUGGUUGUAAAGCACUUUAAGCGGGGAGGAGGCUCUUCUAGUUAAUACCUAGGAUGAGUGGACGUUACCCGCAGAAUAAGCACCGGCUAACUCUGUGCCAGCAGCCGCGGUAAU
rnacentral:rRNA from 1 species